CUCACCAGGUCAGGACACGGUAAGGAUUGACGGACUGAAGGAUCUUUCUCGAUUCCGUGGAAAGUGGUGCAUGGCCGUUUUGGUUGGUGGAUCGAUCCGUCUGGUUAAUUCCGUUAACGAACGAGACCUCGGCACUCCGAAUAGCGCGGCGGACGUCGCGGCCUCCGGGGCCGUCUUCCGCGCGAGCUUCUUAGAGGGACCGUCCCCCGCCGGGGAAGGAGGUUCGAGGCAACGACAGGUCUGUGAUGCCCUUAGAUGUUCUGGGCCGCACGCGCAUUACACUGACGCGUCCAACGGGCGACUCCCGGCCCGAAGGGGUCGGGGAAUCCGCAAGGCGCGUCGUGAUGGGGAUUGAACGUUGCAAUUGUUGUUCACGAACGAGGAAUUCCUAGUAGGCGCGGGUCAUCAACCCGCGCCGAUUACGUCCCUGCCCUUUGUACACACC
rnacentral:rRNA from 1 species